rnacentral:rRNA from 1 species
GACGAACGCUGGCGGCGUGCCUAAUACAUGCAAGUAGAACGCUGAAGGAGGAGCUUGCUUCUCUGGAUGAGUUGCGAACGGGUGAGUAACGCGUAGGUAACCUGCCUGGUAGCGGGGGAUAACUAUUGGAAACGAUAGCUAAUACCGCAUAAUAGCAGUUGUUGCAUGACAACUGUUUGAAAGGUGCAAUUGCACCACUACCAGAUGGACCUGCGUUGUAUUAGCUAGUUGGUGGGGUAACGGCUCACCAAGGCGACGAUACAUAGCCGACCUGAGAGGGUGAUCGGCCACACUGGGACUGAGACACGGCCCAGACUCCUACGGGAGGCAGCAGUAGGGAAUCUUCGGCAAUGGACGGAAGUCUGACCGAGCAACGCCGCGUGAGUGAAGAAGGUUUUCGGAUCGGAAAGCUCUGUUGUAAGAGAAGAACGAGUGUGAGAGUGGAAAGUUCACACUGUGACGGUAUCUUACCAGAAAGAGACGGCUAACUACGUG